rnacentral:pre_miRNA from 1 species
CCUCCUUCCUGCUUUUUUUCACCUCGGUGCUGUCCAGCUAACUUGUAGGAAAGUGAAGGAGGCA